CUACGGGAGGCAGCAGUGGGGAAUCUUCCGCAAUGGGCGCAAGCCUGACGGAGCGACGCCGCGUGAGGGACGAAGGCCUUCGGGUUGUAAACCUCUUUUCUGGGGGAAGAACGUCCGGCCUGUUAAUAGCGGGUUGGGUUGACGGUACCUCAGGAAUAAGCCCCGGCUAACUACGUGCCAGCAGCCGCGGUAAUACGUAGGGGGCGAGCGUUGUCCGGAAUCACUGGGCGUAAAGGGCGCGUAGGCGGCUUGAGAAGUCGCAGGUGAAAUCCCGCGGCUCAACCGUGGAACUGCCUGCGAAACCAUUGGGCUUGAGGACAGGAGAGGGAAGCGGAAUUCCUGGUGUAGCGGUGAAAUGCGUAGAUAUCAGGAGGAACACCAGUGGCGAAGGCGGCUUUCUGGCCUGGUCCUGACGCUGAGGCGCGAAAGCUAGGGGAGCAAACAGGAUUAGAUACCCUGGUAGUCCUAGCUGUAAACGAUGGGCACUAGGUGUUGGGGGGUUCAUACCCUUCAGUGCCGUAGGUAACCCAAUAAGUGCCCCGCCUGGGGAGUACGGCCGCAAGACUGAAACUCAAAGGAAUUGACGGGGGCCCGCACAAGCGGUGGAGCAUGUGGUUUAAUUCGAUGCAACGCGAAGAACCUUACCAGGGUUUGACAUGUCGGUGGUACGGAGUGGAAACACGAAGGACCCUUCGGGGAGCCGGUACAGGUGGUGCAUGGUUGUCGUCAGCUCGUGCCGUGAGGUGUUGGGUUAAGUCCCGCAACGAGCGCAACCCUUACUUCUAGUUGCCAGCGGGUUAAGCCGGGCACUCUAGAGGGACUGCCGUCGACAAGGCGGAGGAAGGUGGGGAUGACGUCAAAUCAUCAUGCCCUUUAUACCCUGGGCUACACACGUGCUACAAUGGCCGGUACAGCGGGAAGCUAAGGCGUGAGCUGGAGCAAAUCCCAAAAAGCCGGUCCAAGUUCGGAUUGCAGGCUGCAACUCGCCUGCAUAAAGUCGGAAUCGCUAGUAAUCGCAGGUCAGCAUACUGCGGUGAAUGCGUUCCCGGGCCUUGUACACACCGCCCGUC
rnacentral:rRNA from 1 species